CGGAGGAUGCGAGCGUUAUCCGGAUUAUUGGUUAAGGUGCGUAGGCGGCCUGUUAAGUCAGCGGUGAAUCUAGGAGCUUAACUCCUAAUUGCCAUUGAUACUGGCGGCUUGAGUGUAGAUGAGGUAGGCGGAAUGCGUGGUGUAGCGGUGGAAUGCAUAGAUAUCACGCAGAACUCCGAUUGCGAAGGCAGCUUACUAAGGUACAACUGACGCUGAAGCACGAAAGCGUGGGUAUCAAACAGGAUU
rnacentral:rRNA from 1 species